rnacentral:rRNA from 1 species
GGGUUGUGAGGUUAAGCGACUAAGCGUACACGGUGGAUGCCCUGGCAGUCAGAGGCGAUGAAGGACGUGCUAAUCUGCGAUAAGCGUCGGUGAGGUGAUAUGAACCGUUAUAACCGGCGAUUUCCGAAUGGGGAAACCCAGUGUGUUUCGACACACUAUCAUUAACUGAAUCCAUAGGUUAAUGAGGCGAACCGGGGGAACUGAAACAUCUAAGUACCCCGAGGAAAAGAAAUCAACCGAGAUUCCCCCAGUAGCGGCGAGCGAACGGGGAGGAGCCCAGAGCCUGAAUCAGUGUGUGUGUUAGUGGAAGCGUCUGGAAAGGCGCGCGAUACAGGGUGACAGCCCCGUACACAAAAAUGCACAUAUUGUGAGCUCGAUGAGUAGGGCGGGACACGUGGUAUCCUGUCUGAAUAUGGGGGGACCAUCCUCCAAGGCUAAAUACUCCUGACUGACCGAUAGUGAACCAGUACCGUGAGGGAAAGGCGAAAAGAACCCCGGCGAGGGGAGUGAAAAAGAACCUGAAACCGUGUACGUACAAGCAGUGGGAGCCUCUUAAUGGGGUGACUGCGUACCUUUUGUAUAAUGGGUCAGCGACUUAUAUUCUGUAGCAAGGUUAACCGAAUAGGGGAGCCGAAGGGAAACCGAGUCUUAACUGGGCGUUAAGUUGCAGGGUAUAGACCCGAAACCCG